rnacentral:misc_RNA from 1 species
UCUGACUAGAAACGUCUGAAAUUGCCAACUGUCUCUGCUCCUCACGCCACACACGGAGAGGCAAACACGCGGAGUUCUCUGUACUCAGUCUCUUCGAGUCAGAUCGAGUCAGCUGAAGAUGCCUUCUCGCCGGCGAACGCUUUUGAAAGUCAUCAUCCUCGGCGAUAGCGGGGUUGGAAAGACUUCGUUGAUGAAUCAAUAUGUAAAUAAG